GAUUAAGAACGUAGCGAAAUGCGAUAAGUAAUGCGAAUUGCAGAAUUCAGUGAGUCAUCGAAUCUUUGAACGCACAUUGCGCCCUGUGGUAUUCCGCAGGGCAUGCCUGUUCGAGCGUCAUUUCAACCCUCAAGCUCUGCUUGGUGUUGGGCCCUGCCCGCUGCGGCCGGCCCUAAAGACAGUGGCGGUGCCGCCUGGCCCUGAGCGUAGUACAUCUCUCGCUCCAGUGCCCGGUGGUAGCCUGCCAGAACCCCAACUCUCGUGGUUGACCUCGGAUCAGGUAGGGAUACCCGCUGAACUUAAGCAUAUCAAUAAGCGGAGGA
rnacentral:misc_RNA from 1 species